rnacentral:rRNA from 1 species
UUGGUUAAGUUAGAAAGGGCGCACGGUGGAUGCCUUGGCACUAGGAGCCGAAGAAGGACGGGACUAACACCGAUAUGCUUUGGGGAGCUGUACGUAAGCGUUGAUCCAGAGAUUUCCGAAUGGGGGAACCCACUAUCUUUAGUCGGAUAGUAUCCUUACGUGAAUACAUAGCGUGAGGAAGGCAGACCCAGGGAACUGAAACAUCUAAGUACCUGGAGGAAGAGAAAGAAAAAUCGAUUUCCUGAGUAGCGGCGAGCGAAACGGAAAGAGCCCAAACCAAGAAGCUUGCUUCUUGGGGUUGUAGGACACUCUAUACGGAGUUACAAAAGAAAGUUAUAAAUGAAGCGGUCUGGAAAGGCCCGCCAAAGACGGUAACAGCCCGGUAGUUGAAAUAGCUUUCCCUCCAGAGUGGAUCCUGAGUACGGCGGAACACGUGAAAUUCCGUCGGAAUCCGGGAGGACCAUCUCCCAAGGCUAAAUACUCCCUAGUGACCGAUAGUGAACCAGUACCGUGAGGGAAAGGUGAAAAGCACCCCGGAAGGGGAGUGAAACAGUUCCUGAAACCGUGUGCCUACAAGUAGUUAGAGCCCGUUAAUGGGUGAUAGCGUGCCUUUUGUAGAAUGAACCGGCGAGUUACGAUUUGUUGCAAGGUUAAGCGGAAAAAGCGGAGCCGUAGCGAAAGCGAGUCUGAAUAGGGCGCAUAAGUAACAGGUCGUAGACCCGAAACCAGGUGAUCUACCCAUGUCCAGGAUGAAGGUAAGGUAAUACUUACUGGAGGUCCGAACCCACGCACGUUGAAAAGUGCGGGGAUGAGGUGUGGGUAGCGGAGAAAUUCCAAUCGAACUUGGAGAUAGCUGGUUCUCUCCGAAAUAGCUUUAGGGCUAGCCUCGAGGUAAAGAGUCAUGGAGGUAGAGCACUGUUUGGACUAGGGGCCCUUCUCGGGUUACCGAAUUCAGAUAAACUCCGAAUGCCAUGUACUUAUACUCGGGAGUCAGACUGCGAGUGAUAAGAUCCGUAGUCGAAAGGGAAACAGCCCAGACCACCAGUUAAGGUCCCCAAAUAUAUGUUAAGUGGAAAAGGAUGUGGGGUUGCUUAGACAACCAGGAUGUUGGCUUAGAAGCAGCCACCAUUGAAAGAGUGCGUAAUAGCUCACUGGUCGAGUGACCCCGCGCCGAAAAUGUACCGGGGCUAAACAUAUUACCGAAACUGUGGAUGAACC